rnacentral:rRNA from 1 species
UGCGCAGGCGGGGAUGUAAGUCAGUGGUGAAAUACUGCCGCUCAACGGUAGAACUGCCAUUGAUACUGCAUCUCUUGAGUAUGGUUGAGGUAGGCGGAAUGUGUUGUGUAGCGGUGAAAUGCAUAGAUAUGACACAGAACGCCAAUUGCGAAGGCAGCUUACUAAGCCAUUACUGACGCUGAGGCACGAAAGCGUGGGGAGCGAACAGGAUUAGAUACCCUGGUAGUC